AACGAACGCUGGCGGCAUGCCUAACACAUGCAAGUCGAACGAGACCUUCGGGUCUAGUGGCGCACGGGUGCGUAACGCGUGGGAACCUGCCUUUAGGUUCGGAAUAACUCAGAGAAAUUUGAGCUAAUACCGGAUGAUGUCUUCGGACCAAAGAUUUAUCGCCUUUAGAUGGGCCCGCGUUGGAUUAGCUAGUUGGUGGGGUAAAGGCCUACCAAGGCGACGAUCCAUAGCUGGUCUGAGAGGAUGAGCAGCCACACUGGGACUGAGACACGGCCCAGACUCCUACGGGAGGCAGCAGUGGGGAAUAUUGGACAAUGGGCGAAAGCCUGAACCAGCAAUGCCGCGUGAGUGAUGAAGGCCUUAGGGUUGUAAAGCUCUUUUACCCGAGAUGAUAAUGACAGUAUCGGGAGAAUAAGCUCCGGCUAACUCCGUG
rnacentral:rRNA from 1 species